CUAACGCAACGCGAAGAACCUUACCUGGCCUUGACAUCCAGAGAACUUAGCAGAGAUGCUUUGGUGCCUUCGGGAACUUUGAGACAGGUGCUGCAUGGCUGUCGUCAGCUCGUGUUGUGAAAUGUUGGGUUAAGUCCCGCAACGAGCGCAACCCUUAUCCUUUGUUGCCAGCGGCUCGGUCGGGAACUCAAAGGAGACUGCCGGUGAUAAACCGGAGGAAGGUGGGGAUGACGUCAAGUCAUCAUGGCCCUUACGGCCAGGGCUACACACGUGCUACAAUGGCGCAUACAAAGAGAAGCGACCUCGCGAGAGCAAGCGGACCUCAUAAAGUGCGUCGUAGUCCGGAUUGGAGUCUGCAACUCGACUCCAUGAAGUCGGAAUCGCUAGUAAUCGUAGAUCAGAAUGCUACGGUGAAUACGUUCCCGGGCCUUGUACACACCGCCCGUCACACCAUGGGAGUGGGUUGCAAAAGAAGUAGGUAGCUUAACCUUCGGGAGGGCGCUUAACCCACUUGGUUUACAAAGGA
rnacentral:rRNA from 1 species